rnacentral:lncRNA from 1 species
AUGCAUAUUUAUUUUAAAAUUUUUAUUUUUUAAAUACCACAGCAGAGAAUAAGAUUAAAAUAUUUUUAAUCUAAAUUUUAUAUGCAUAAAAAAUAUAAAACCAUAUAGAUCUAUUUUAUAUGCUGAAAUUGAUAUAUGCUGAAAUUCAAAUUAUGAUCAAAUCAUAUACCUGUUUCGCAAUCCCUUUAUUCAAAACUAGAUAUGGAAGAGACGAGGCUUUCUGUUAGCCGUACAAGUAUCCGAUCUCUACGAGUAUCUACUUGAGAUCAAUCUGGAACAGCCCUCUAUAAUCUGAAUUUUGAUUCUCCAAAAUUUAGCCUGCUGAAUCUGAACGAAGCCUGGAUCGCAAUCAACACUUGAUCUUUCUCCUUGAUAUUCUUCUUCUCUUCUUCUCUAGAGUUUCUCCUUGCUAUUUGCUGCUACCAGAUGCUAGAAACCAGCAAGAAAGAGGCACCCAAACUCCUUUAGGCAUGAAACUCCUUGGGAUGCAUGUCCCAAGGAAGGGGUGUAUAGAACACCCAAGAUGAGAGAAAGGGGGAGGAAGAG